rnacentral:rRNA from 1 species
UGGGGAAUAUUGCACAAUGGAGGGAACUCUGAUGCAGCGACGCCGCGUGAACGAAGAAGGCUUUCGAGUCGUAAAGUUCUUUUAUAUGGGAAGAUAAUGACGGUACCAUAAGAAAAAGCCCCGGCUAACUACGUGCCAGCAGCCGCGGUAAUACGUAGGGGGCUAGCGUUUCCGGAAUCACUGGGCGUAAAGGGUUCGCAGGCGGAAAUGCAAGUCAGGUGUAAAAGGCAGUAGCUUAACUACUGUAAGCAUUUGAAACUGCAUAUCUUGAGAAGAGUAGAGGUAAGUGGAAUUUUUAGUGUAGCGGUGAAAUGCGUAGAUAUUAAAAAGAAUACCGGUGGUGAAGGCGACUUACUGGGCUCAUUCUGACGCUGAGGAACGAAAGCGUGGGUAGCAAACAGG